UCUUUUCUCUCUUUUCCCAAUAACCGACUCUUCGGUUCUCUCAAAAACUCUCUCCCUUCUCUCUACUUUCUCUCUCUAAUUUCUCUAUGAUUUCAUCGAUUAAUCUCAAUAUUUACAUGGUAUCAGAGCCUUACAACGAUCCGAUCAUGUUUGUUCGCAUAUCGGUAUCACUUUUGAACGUUUGUUUGACGAUUUUUGACGAUUUUUCUGAGAUCGAAUGGUCUGUGAUGAUUCAGUUUUUGAUCGGACAGACUUCAAAAGUGUUUUACAUCAUAAUAUCCGGGUGAAUCUUCUUAACCUCAACGUUUUGACAACGUUUUGAUCGGUUUUGGUGAUUUCUGGUGAGUUAUCGGUAUCUAGGGUUUUCGGUGGUUUUGAUUCACUGGUUUACCGUCUUCCGGUGGUCCGAUUCUCAUCUUGUGGGUGUUUGGGUAAAUUUCCGACAUCGUUUCUCGAUUUUCUGGUGACUGAAUCGACGUCUGAACCUAGGGUUUCACACCUAGGGUUUUCACUGCUAUUUGAAGGCCGAUCUUCUUCCGGUAGCGAAGAAGGAGGGUAACUUUGGUUUAGAAAUUGUGCAUCUGGUUUGUGUAUAUCGAUUUUGGUUUUGUGUUUGAAUAUUUGGUUUUAUGUGUGGCUAUUUGAUUUGUUACAUUUUGGUUGCUGAAUCUGUUGGCUGCUAACACCAAUACUAGUACCACCAACACUGGUCUUUUGGACUCUUCAAGUCCCUUAUUUCUAUACUCCUCCGAUGUUCCCGGGGUAUCUCUCGUCCCCACACCCUUCUCAGGUGAUGGUUUUGGGGGAUGGAGAAGAAAAAUGGUUGUUGCUUUGACUGCUAAAAAUAAAAUUGGCUUUAUAGAUGGAACUUGUCCUCGACCAGCUACUAAUGCUGCUCAACAGAGAUUAUGGGACAGGUGUAAUAGUAUGGUAAUUUCAUGGUUAANNNN
rnacentral:lncRNA from 1 species